rnacentral:lncRNA from 1 species
AUGGAUAUCAGACCAAAUUGCUUAAUUUAUAUCAACAAUAUGAAUGACAAAAUUAAAGAAGAAGGAUUGAAGAGAUUCCCACACGCUCUGUUUUCUCAGUUUGGCCAUGUGGUAAGUAUUGUGGCUCUAAAGACCAUGAAGAUGGGUGCGGGACACUGGGCUCAUCCACAAAUGCCUUGAGACAGUUACAAGGAUUUCCAUUGUAUGAUAAACCAAUGCAAAUCCAGUAGGCAAAAACAGAUUCUGAUAUAAUUUCUAAGAUGUGUGACACUUUUUCUGACAAAAGAAAAGAAAAAAGCCCAAACUGUGGAACAGAUAGCAACAACCGCAAACAGAAAGCCUGGUCAGGAAACACUGAAUUCAGCUGAUACCCAAAUCCUCAGGUUCUUACUACCCUCCGAAUUCUGUUUUAUUUUUAAGUUAAUUUACCAGCAGAGACUCGUGAGAUGAUGUUAUCUGUGCUAUUUAAUCGGUUCCCUGGUUUCAAGAAAGUACGUUUUGUACCUGGGAAGCAUGGUAUUGCUCUGGUUGAAUUUGAAAAUGGUAAGUAGGCUGGAGCUCUCAGGGCAGCUUUACAAGGAUUUAAGGUCACUUUGUCCCACGCCAUGAAAAUCACCUGUGUCAAGAAGUAA